rnacentral:rRNA from 1 species
UGGCUCAGAACGAACGCUAGCGGCAUGCCUCAAACAUGCAAGUCGAACGCGAAAGUGACUUCGGUCACGAGUAGAGUGGCGCACGGGUGCGUAACACGUAGCUAAUGUACCUCCUCGCUGGGGAUAACUUCGGGAAACCGAAGCUAAUACCGAAUGAUCUGUGACGGUCUGCGGACUGUUCCGGUAAAGCCUUCGGGCGCGAGGAGAUCAGGCUGCGUCCCAUUAGGUAGUUGGUGGGGUAAUGGCCCACCAAGCCGACGAUCCUUAGCUGGUCUGAGAGGAUGAUCAGCCACACUGGGACUGAGACACGGCCCAGACUCCUACGGGAGGCAGCAGUGGGGAAUAUUGGACAAUGGGCGAAAGCCUGAUCCAGCAAUGCCGCGUGAGUGAUGAAGGCCUUAGGGUUGUAAAGCUCUUUUACCAGGGAUGAUAAUGACAGUACCUGGAGAAUAAGCUCCGGCUAACUCCGUGCCAGCAGCCGCGGUAAUACGGAGGGAGCUAGCGUUGUUCGGAACUACUGGGCGUAAAGCGCACGUAGGCGGCUAUUCAAGUCGGGGGUGAAAGCCCGGGGCUCAACCCCGGAACUGCCUUUAAGACUGCAUCGCUUGAAUCCGGGAGAGGUGAGUGGAAUUCCGAGUGUAGAGGUGAAAUUCGUAGAUAUUCGGAAGAACACCAGUGGCGAAAGCGGCUCACUGGACCGGUAUUGACGCUGAGUGCGAAAGCGUGGGGAGCAAACAGAUUAGAUACCCUGGUAGUCCACGCCGUAAACGAUGAUAACUAGCUGUCAGGGCCAUGGGCUUUUGGUGGCGCAGCUAACGC